rnacentral:tRNA from 1 species
GCGGGGAUGGCAGAGUGGUCAAAUGCGAUGGACUCAAGAUCCAUUUCCUUAGUGGAUACGAGGGUUCGAAUCCCUUUCCCCGCA